GGGCCCGUAGCUCAGGUGGCAGAGCUGCCGGCUCAUAACCGGCGGGUCCCAGGUUCGAAUCCUGGCGGGCCCA
rnacentral:tRNA from 1 species